rnacentral:rRNA from 1 species
CUACAGGCGGCUGCAGUGGGGAAUAUUGGACAAUGGGGGAAACCCUGAUCCAGCAAUGCCGCGUGUGUGAAGAAGGCCUGCGGGUUGUAAAGCACUUUCGGUUGGGAGGACUGCUUCUAGCACUAAUAUUGUUGGAAGUUGACGUUACCUUCAGAAGAAGCACCGGCUAACUCCGUGCCAGGAGCCGCGGUAAUACGGAGGGGGCAAGCGUUAAUCGGAAUUACUGGGCGUAAAGCGCGCGUAGGCGGCUAGAUCAGUCGGGUGUGAAAGCCCCGGGCUUAACCUGGGAACUGCAUCCGAUACUGUCUAGCUUGAGUACAGGAGAGGAGAGUGGAAUUCCACAUGUAGCGGUGAAAUGCGUAGACAUGUGGAGGAACACCAAUGGCGAAGGCAGCUCUCUGGCCUGAUACUGACGCUGAGGUGCGAAAGCGUGGGGAGCAAACAGGAUUAGAUACCCGAGUAGUC